rnacentral:rRNA from 1 species
UACAGAGGGCUCAAGCGUUGUUCGGAUUCAUUGGGCGUAAAGGGUGUGUAGGUGGCGCGCUAAGUCGGGUGUGAAAUUUCGGAGCUUAACUCCGAAACUGCAUUCGAUACUGGCUUGCUUGAGGACUGGAGAGGAGACUGGAAUUUACGGUGUAGCGGUGAAAUGCGUAGAUAUCGUAAGGAAGACCAGUGGCGAAGGCGGGUCUCUGGACAGUUCCUGACGCUGAGGCACGAAGGCCAGGGGAGCAAACGGG